CAGGGCCGCCACGAAUGGCUAUGCACUGCACAACCCUAGGAGAGGGUGCCAUUCACAUAGACUAUAAUUGAAUGGCGCCACUAGGGUUGUGCAGUGCACAACCUACACA